GACGAACGCUGGCGGCGUGCUUAACACAUGCAAGUCGAACGGAAAGGCCCUGCUUUUGUGGGGUGCUCGAGUGGCGAACGGGUGAGUAACACGUGAGUAACCUGCCCUUGACUUUGGGAUAACUUCAGGAAACUGGGGCUAAUACCGGAUAGGAGCUCCUGCUGCAUGGUGGGGGUUGGAAAGUUUCGGCGGUUGGGGAUGGACUCGCGGCUUAUCAGCUUGUUGGUGGGGUAGUGGCUUACCAAGGCUUUGACGGGUAGCCGGCCUGAGAGGGUGACCGGCCACAUUGGGACUGAGAUACGGCCCAGUCUCCUACGGGAGGCAGCGGUGGGGAAUAUUGCACAAUGGGCGGAAGCCUGAUGCAGCAACGCCGCGUGCGGGAUGACGGCCUUCGGGUUGUAAACCGCUUUCGCCUGUGACGAGGCGUGAGUGACGGUAAUGGGUAAAGAAGCACCGGCUAACUACGUG
rnacentral:rRNA from 1 species